AUGGGAUGAACGGCAGAAAAGCCCAUUUGUCAAUCACAGUGUGUGCGGCCUCAUUGAGUGGCAGGGCUUGAAAAGAACGAAACAGAAAGCUACAGCAGCUACAACUUCCUGGGAAAGCUAUCUCGCUCGGCUUCUGUGGUGUUUUCUUCAGCAAGGACCUUCCUGAUGGGUUUUCAGAUUCAGCUCUGUGUGCAGGACAGGCCGCUCUAAUCACAGACCAUUUUAUUCACAGGAUCCUAACUUGACUGUGGUCUGGGAGGCUCCAGCCAGCAGCGGAUUGAGACAGAUGCUGGGACUUGCAGCCAAGCAUGGGGCAGAACUCCGGGGGUCCUGUGGAAGUGUUGGGAGAAAGAUGGAAGGACCUGGAGGGGACAGGAACCUCACAAGAAGACCGACAGAGACAACUAACCCAGACCCAGGGGGCUUUAGAGACUGAGACAUCAGCUAAGGAGCAUGCACGGUCUGGACCUAGGCCCCUGCACACAUGUAGCCAGUGGGCGGCUUGGUCUUCUUAUGGCUUGUCUGGUGAGCAGCGGAGGUGUGUGUUUCUAACAUGGACUCUGUUGCCUGCUUUUGGAUCACUCCCCCCUGGCAGGGCUGCCUGGCCUGGCCUCGGGAGAUGAAGAGAUGCUCAGUCCUGAUGGGACUUGAUGUACUGGGGAGGGUUGAUACAGAGGGAAGGGGCUCUCCUUUUCUGGGGGAAGAGGGAGAGGGGAAGGGGAAAGAGAUGGGGAGGAGGAGAGGAAAAGACUGGGAGGA